UACAGAGGUCCCAAGCGUUGUUCGGAUUCACUGGGCGUAAAGGGUGCGUAGGCGGUCGGGUAAGUCUGAUGUGAAAUCUCCGAGCUCAACUCGGAAAUGGCAUUGGAUACUAUUCGGCUAGAGGAGUGGAGGGGGGACUGGAAUACUUGGUGUAGCAGUGAAAUGCGUAGAUAUCAAGUGGAACACCAGUGGCGAAGGCGAGUCCCUGGACAUUUCCUGACGCUGAGGCACGAAAGCUAGGGGAGCAAACAGG
rnacentral:rRNA from 1 species